AGCCCUGCUGGCCGCAGACUGGGAGGAUUAAGAUCAGGUUAGUAGCCCUGCUGGCCACAGACUGGGAGGAUUCAGAUCAGGUUAGUAGCCCUGCUGGCCACAGACUGGGAGGAUUCAGAUCAGGUUAGUAGCCCUGCUGGCCGCAGACUGGGAGGAUUCAGAUCAGGUUAGUAGCCCUGCUGGCCGCAGACUGGGAGGAUCAGGUUAGUAGCCCUGCUGGCCGCAGACUGGGAGGAUCAGGUUAGUAGCAUAUAGGGCCAUCAAUUUUCCAGGGUCAAAGUGAGAUGUAGCUCUUCUGGCCACAGACAACCAUUUGCUACAAGUUUGUCAGAUCAAGCAUAUGUUUCACCUCCUUGUCAAUUUAGAACAACAGAUACUAUGCCCACAAGUAAUAUUGACUUACUGAAAUAACAUUCAUAACGUUAUAAUGUAACAUUCCUAACAACCAAAACAUGAUAGUUUCAAAAACAUCGAAGAACCUAUUUUGCAAAAUGUUGUAGAUGUUUUGAUAUGUUAAGCUAUAUUUGUUAUUUCAUUAAAUUCUUACAAAACCUUUAACAGAGUCUUACCAAUGUGUACUGAACGCCAAAACCUAUGACAGAAUGCACAACGUCUGUAACGGUCAUUUACAGUGCUUAUAUCUCAUUCAUUCAUUCAUUCAGCUAUUAACACUGCAUUAACCAUAUCAUGUUAUACAUUAAGACCUAAGCUUGAGAUGUAUUGAAUAUUAUAAAUUUGCUUUUCUGUAAGUAUUUUAUUUUGUUGUUUCAAAUUGGUCAGUAGGCUCUGAAUCUGUGCCGGCGAAUGGGUGAAGAAUUCAAGAAUUGCCCAACUGUGGAAAUUCGA